GCGGCCGGUGAGCGCUGAGUGGGCGGCUCAGGGAUUUGGGGGCUCGCUGAAGGACGGAGAACGCAACGGGACCGCGCCGGCACUGGGUGGACGAUUUUGUGCUUUAAAUUGUUAAUAAAUCGUUCUAAACCGC